CAGAAACUGAGCACAAGAGCAUUCAGCAUUCCGCGCGAUGUCGUCGUUGCCGCAGCUGGCUGCGUCCGUCAUUUUUCCUUUUCUUUCUUUUUCUUUUCUUUGCAACGAAGGGCACUGACAG
ensembl:ncRNA T25C12.6 ncRNA